rnacentral:rRNA from 1 species
UACGGGGGGGGCAAGCGUUGUUCGGAAUUACUGGGCGUAAAGGGUUUGUAGGUGGCUUGCUAAGUCAGACGUGAAAUCCCUCAGCUCAACUGGGGAACUGCGUCUGAGACUGGCGAGCUCGAGUGCAGGAGAGGAACGCGGAAUUCCAGGUGUAGCGGUGAAAUGCGUAGAUAUCUGGAGGAACACCGGUGGCGAAGGCGGCGUUCUGGACUGCAACUGACACUGUAAAACGAAAGCCAGGGGAGCAAACGGG